AAUUAUAUAUCAUGAGAAGAAUGGAGGGGUCCACUGAAAAGCAAAGCUUGUAAAAUGUGGACCCUCAAAAAGUUAGGAUGGAAAGAAUAUUGAAAUAUACGUAAAGGAAUACAUGAAGAUAACAAAAGGGGCAAAAAAAUCUUAUAUACAGGAUUGUGAAAUUCAGAGACAAAAGACAAUAACACGACAACACAGGUACAUGAGGGUGGACAAUAGUACGAUGACAACUGCCUAGAAUAUAGAAAGAAAAAUAGAGAUAGGGAGAGGGAUGCAAAGCUUGUAUCUGUUAUACUGACAAAGAUCUAUAUGCUCCUUCCAUAGCAUGUUAUAAUCAAUACUGAUUUGUGCAAUCGGUAAAAGAAAACUGGUCACUAUGUGUGAAUAAAUUGAUUUUAUUGGCAUUUGAUUCAUUUACUUGUAAAAUGUCAGUAUAUCUGCAUACAUAUUCUUAUUCAAUUACAGUAUACACAGUAUAAACACUGUUCAAUUUUUUUUCGUACGAUGCCGUUUACUAGUUACUGUAAAGUUCAUCUGGUGAACAGUAUUGUGUAAGAUUUAAACAGCAUUUUUACAGUAUUUGUUUAAUGUACUUUUAUUUAUGUACAGUAUAUGAUGAUGCAUUUACUGUUACAUUUUAUUAUGUUUAUUAGAUAACUUUUAGGUGUUGUCAACUACCUUGACAUCAGUGACAAUACUGCUUGUUGAUUGGCUCUUCCAAUGAAAGCAACUUUUUAUGAAAUGAAGCCCAGUUCUGUUUAACCCACCACUUCAUCCCACACGUCCAAAAUUCCACAAAUCAUGUUCCUUUCUUUCCAUGAAAAAUUCAGGAAAUAGAUGUCUUUGAACCACUGCUGCUAUUUUUUUAUUUACUACAUUGUUAAAAAAACAGGACAUUUUUUAAAUUACUGUUAAAAAUGCGAGUGAGUGAGCAUAAUUGCUUAAGGUGACAGACACCAGGAAAGUAAAACUUUUCAGGGAUACUUUUCAGCGGUGGUGUCGUCAACAUUUAAAUCUUAACCAAAGUUAAGUCUUGGAAAUUUCAUCAUAACUAUAAGAAAGUAUAUGGACCCAGUUCAUGAAAUUUGGACAUUAUGGUAAUGAAAUAUCACUGAUCAUCUUGCGUGAGUUUCAAGUCACAUGACCGAGUUCAAAGGUCAUUCAUGGUGAACAAACAUGACCAUAUUGGGGAUAUUUUCUUAAAUGUCAAAAGUUGGAUAUAGGUCAUAAAACUUGGACAUAACGGUAAACAAGUGUAAUUGAUCAUCUUACACAAGUUUCAGGUCUUAUGAUUAAGGUCAAAUGUCAUGUAGGGUCAUUGAACUUAUCAACUUUGAAAUCUUAACCAAUGUUAAGUUUUUGUAAUGUUAUCAUAAAUUUGAAAGUAAAUAGAUCUAUUGCAUGAAUCUUUGACGCAGGGGUAAUCAAGUGUCACUGAUCAUUUUGAAUGAGUUUCAGGUCACAUGAUUGAAAUCAAAUGUCAUUUAGGGUCAAUUAACUUUUUUUUUAAAUAAUGAGUCAUCUUAGUUGUGUUUCAAAGUCAGCACUGCUGCUAUAUUGAAUCAUGUAAUGCAGGGGAGACUGCCAGAGGUGUUUUCACUUGUUCAUCAUAUUGGAUAUAAUAAAUGUUCUUAUAAAAAUUAUCUGUUUAUGGUAUAAAACUGGCCAUAUUGGUAAUACUGUAUCAUGAUAACUCAUAAUUGAGAUCCCUGUUUGUUUCCUGUUGAAUGAAAUGAAAUAUUAAAAUUAUAGAUUGAUUAGUAUUUCUGUCAGAACUUCAAAGAGAUAGCUUAUUCAUUAGGUGCCAAAGAGCUUAACACCACUCUAUCUUUAUCAGCAAUAAUGGGAGAGGCAGUUAAUUGCUUUUCACUGCUUCAUUAGGCUAAUGAGUCAGACUUUUUACAAUUUCAUUUCAUAUUUCGCAGGUUAAGGAUAUUGUCACAAUUUUUUAUGACAAGAGAGGGGUCUGUUCUUGCCAUGGAAUCGAAAAAGAAUAGAUAUAUGAGCAAAUCAUCUUGAUUUGGACACAUGUUGAUUCAUUCUUGUAUAAUAUUGGGUGGGGAAAGUAAAAUUUGGUGUUAAAUGUUCAAAGUACAUGUAUGCAUACAUGUGUAGAAUAUAACUCAAAUCCAAAAUUAUCUUUAUUUCAUGACUUGCAAGACAACAUCAUAGAUGACUACUAAUCAUGACUCAUCCAGUUUUUUUUAUAAUUUUGGCAUAGAUACUACUACUAUUGAUUUGCUUGAAAUGUAUUAUAGUAUAUCUUCCAUUAGAAAUUGACAUUUCGACCAACCCAUAUCCCUGCUUGAGAACCCAUGAAUUAUUUCCUGGGGCCGGAAACACAAAUAUUGGCAAUUGAACAAAGCUUAAUUAUAUGCUUCAUUGCAUAUAAUGAUCAUUGUAGUCAUAUAAAAAAAUUAGCCCUGUGAUCAAGUUUUGUAUGUUUUGUGUUUAGGGGCCCAGUUAUCAUUGCUAUUUCAAGGAUAUUGAUAUCACAGAGGAACUAGUCUGUACACCCUAUUAGAUUUAUUCAAGAACUAAAUACCGUACCUUUGAAUGCAAGAUGAAUUCAAAUGUUAACACUUGUUUUUUUUUUAUAAGACAAGGUGAGGACAGGCACUCAAGAUAAAAGAAAUGGAGUACAAGAAAAAAAUAUGCUGCAUCAUGAAUUUCAAAUACAUGUGAAAUUCAUUGAGAAAAAUUUGUUCAGAAGUGACUAAAAUAUCAAAGAUGUAAAUAAUGAGUUGUGUGUGUUGGUAUCAAUUGAAAAUCAUUUAAGUGUAGAACCAAGGAGGAUUCUACUUAUGCCACAUUAAAUUUCAUAUAAAGCACUAGAUAUAGCUGUGUUGAGCAGUGCUAUCAACACUAGUGUCAAUAUUGUGUAGAAAUUGACAGUUGAUAUGUGGUCAUCACAAAAAAGUAACAAGAAACAUUUGGAAUACAUGAUGAUCUCUUGAAUUAUGGAUCUUUUAAUAUUAUUUUUUACAAUAUGAGGCUAUUUAUGCAUUUACACACCAAGUUGUCUUUUGCUACUGAGAUUUAAAUUCUGAAGCAUUAUGAAUUGAAAAUUUAUUGUAAUCUACUAUACUUCCCAGUCUUAUUUCAGUGAGAGUAAAUUAUAAUUUACUCCGAAUAUUGAGCAGAAUAUAUGUCAAGGACUCCUAAAAUAAAAAUCUUUUUGAUUUGCCCUGUGGAUAUAUAUUAUCAGUUGUAUUCACUCACUUAAAUUGACAUUAAACUGCUUCAUAUGCUAGAGUAAAGUAGAAGUAAGAAAGCAUUUUCCUGUGCAUGAUGUACAAUCCUUUCAUUCAAAGCCAAAAGAAUGUGGCUGUUGUGGUUCAGCGAUGCUCAAUUAUUUGAGUUUGCUUGAAGCACUGAAAUAGAAAUUUGGGAAUGACUGUUGUUUGUGGUUUUAGGAUAAAAACUGUAAGAAUUGUGUUAUGCAUAACUAACACUGUUCAAAUUGGGGGUUUUAUCUGCUGAUUUUUACUUUCUGUACUUAUCUUUGUGGAAACAUUUCAUGUAAGUACAUUAAAUGCUUCAGUGAGACAAUAUAGUAAUGUAAUUCUUACAGUGCUGUAAUGCUGUCCUUUGUACAUGAUAUUUGUGGUGAAUAUACAGUGAAUGAUGUAUCUACACUCAUGAUUAUUUUUUAAACUGAUAUUGCAAUAGUUUUCUUUUAGAAAAAUGAGAAUAAAAGUUGAAUUUAAUAAGUCUAAUACUUUUAGUAUAUUUAGUACCCUUAAUGUUAAGAAUCUGUGUUUUCUAGAUUGUAAAUGAUAUUGCCUUGUAUUGCAGUAAUAUAUUAAUUGAAGAAGAGUAAGUAAUAGCACAGUACAUGAUAGGCUGCCACAAAUAAGUGUUUGCAAAUACCUAUCUGUAUUAGGCUCUGUUUGUACCUAACAAUAGGUGGUUUCAAACCGCCUCGAUCACAAGAAUCCCCGUUAAAUUACGAGAACUUUUUUAGGCUGAAAAAUACCCAUUAAUUAUUCCUGCAUUCACACCGCCCUGAAACAUACCCUUCGGGAUGAGUUCCUGAAGUUACGAGCAUGCGCAAUAUGGUCUGAUAAGCAGCAAGGCGCGAAAUUCAAAAUCACUAGCCCAGCAGCAACCCAUGCACGGCGCCGCACCCAACGACACGCUGGGCUAAAAGUUCCCGUAAUUUGCUUUCAGACCGCCAAAAUACCCAUGACCUUGGAAAAAUCCCCGCGAAAGUUCUUGUAAUUUCGCCAAGUACCUACUAUUUAUCGGGUAUUUUCUUUCGGGGAUAUUACGCGUAGUUUGCUUUCACACCGCCAAAAUACCUGGUAUUUUCUGAUCGGGGUAAAUUUCCCGAUCAGAGAAUACCUGGAACUGGCGAACUUCGAGGCGGUCUGAAACCACCUAUUGUCACUCAUUCAUAGCCAUUCAAAUCAUGGAACUAAUAACAAUGCCAUUUUCUUGAUUUUGAUUGUAUAUUAUGUAAAGCUGUAAUCUGUCAAUUCUGUGAGAACGUUGAAAUGCACAGAUCUGUUCCCCCUUUGUGAAAUUGUUUAGAAUGUUGUGAAAUUGUUAGGAAAUAAUGGAUAUAGGGCUAAAUGAUUUUGAUAAAGAAAUAGAAAAUGUUUACUUGUGAUUUCCCUUCUUUUUGUUCUUUCCUAUGUACAGGAAUGCUGCCUGAAAUAAGUGAGAAAAGACGGUGAAUCUUUCAGGAGCCAUUGUUCUUCAUGAAGUCUACUCUAUAAGUUUCAAGAAAUAUCAGAGAAAUAAUGAUUUAUUAGAGACAAGUACUAUACACAGUUUCACCAUUAAGAAAAUAUGAUAAAAAUACAAUGGUGGAGAAGAAUAACCAAAUGAGAAUAAGUGAUGAUGAUAUAAUCUCAAAAUUCAGUGAUAACUUCAGCUUAAAGCUUCUAUCUCCACUCAUUCGUCUUAAAAAAGAGCUGCGCCUCUCACUUCCCGAUCUUGUUUCAAGACAUAAGCUUCAAGAGAACUUAGGAGCAGGUGGAAAUAAUGGAGGAGACAUUAUAAAAGACAAUGGGGUUGAAACCAGAUUUAUGACAAAUGAUGGUUCAGAUUUGGACAGAUCUAUUCUUCACGAUGGGAAACUGGAAAGCACUUACAAUGAAAGUGAACUGCUGCAGUCAAACUUGGAAUCAACGGAAGAAGUGAAUGUAAAUGCCACGCUUAAAACUUCAGAGAAGAUCCCAGACAAACAGGAUGUUCAAAUCAAGAGAAAACGUGGUAGACCACCAAAGAAGGUUAGAUCAGUAGGUGGUAAUGCCACUAAAGCUGUAAGCUCUACCAAAGCCCCCCACUGCCAGUCAACUGUCUUACCAACAAGAAAGGGGAAUAGACAAAGGAAACAUGGAUUAAACGGUCAUGGCAAAGCACUUAGUGAAAUUUCUAUCACAGCUCCUGUAAGUCGCUUACACGCUGCAGCCAGCCAAACAAGUCAGUCAUUUCCAAAGUCAAAGUUUGGAUCCCGAGCUGGAAAACAUCAGAUCAUCCGUAAAUACCCCUUGAGAAAAUUGCUUCAUUCUAGGUCACGGUUGUCCAGAUUUCCUACAUAUAGCAACAGUAUUGGACAGAUCACAAGAAAAUCAUCUGAUGCAAUUAGUAUUGAUGAAAUCUCUGUGAAAACUAAUGCAAAUUCCAAAUGCUUUGCUGGGAAAUUGUUAAAAACAAAAGAAAUUCCUCCAGAAAUCCUUGAAACCAUUAAUAAUAUUUCAAAAUGUGUUACAAGUGACUCUUGCAGUAACCCUGGAGUCGAUUCAAAGGAAAGCAAUCAAAAGGCUCCUGACAGGGAAUCUAGUGAAGAUGUAGCAAGUACCAUUUCUUCAGCAUACUGUGCUAAAGAAAAAAGUAAACCCAAAAAACUCUUGAAGAGCAAGUCAAAGAUGCAAAACUCUUGUCUCCCUAAAAAUCUUCCUUCAUCCCCAUUAUGUGUGGAUCGUUCUGCAGAAAAGAAGUUAUCAAACUCAUCUUUAGGAUGUGAGAAUCGGUGUAAUGAUUCUGUAGGUGUGUAUGAUUUCACUGAUUCCUCAAAUGACAGUGUAUGUAAGCCAGCUCCUCCUCCCCCAGUGAUGCUACAACGGAAAAGAGGCAGACCACCGAAGCAGAAGAAUUGCCAUGCACAACGUAAAGCCAAGUUCCAGCCAGUGACAGUCUCAUCAAGUAGAACAUUUUGUAGAAACCAGCCAAAAACUAAAGCAUCAAACAAUUGUUCUAGCAUUUCUCAAGGUCCUGUGCAGCCUGUUAAGAAAAGGGGGCGUGGGAGGCCACGCAAAAACACAAGGGCUAUGCUGUCAUCACAGAAAAAUUGCCAAAAAGAAUCCCAGAAAGUGUUUAAUGUCAAGGAAGGAAACAGCUUACAUCAUGAACGUGAAUGUUCAAGUUUACUAGUGGAAACAGAAUUUCCCAUUCGACAGGAAAAGGUUGUUGAAGAAAAAAAUCAUGGAACAGAAGAGGAUUGUAGUCAAUUGCAUGCUCCAAAAGUAACAGACAGUAGACAAGAUGACAGGUGUGUCUUGUUAUUACAUAAUACACAACCAAAUCCAGUAGAAGAUGAAAGUGGCGAUAUUCCUGAUGCUAUUCAGACACCAGGCUGGAAGGACAAAUCAUCAGAAUAUCAGAUGAUGAAUGAUGAAGUGUCAUGUUUGACACCUCCAGGAUCCAAUGAAUGUCUCUCAAUAUCAGGAGAUGACAAACUUCAAAUUCACAAAGAGUCUUUCAACCAGAAAUCAUGUCAGAGCCCAAGUAACAGCACUAUUUCAUAUUCAUCUUCAUCUACUCAAGAUUUCCUCUUCAAAGAUGGUGCUUCAUCACCUUUAUCACAUCCAAAUAUGCCAAAUUUUUAUCAAGAUAGGACAAUUAUAGACAAGUCCUCAGAAUUGCCAGAAAGGACCAACUCAUGUUCUCCUUGUCUGCCUCCAGAAAAUAGAAAAGAUCUGUUGUGUAGCAAUGAGUACAGUCAAAGUAUGACUGAAGCCAGUCAAGAAAAUGCUGAAUAUUCAUCUACUCAAGAAUCUGAUGGACUCUCACAAAUCAGGAUUACAAAAACUAUUUCACUGUCCCAAGAUGAGCUUCUUACAAACAAUACAGGGUGUAAUAGCGUCGAGACUCUUGGUGAUAAUUCAAUAGACAAUAAAAAUGAUAUUCCAGUCCCAGCUUGUGAUGAUUCUUCUAUUUUGCAGAGGAGGGAGAGGAAAAACAUUUUCCAGGCACUUAGAGGGGGCUUGAAUUCCCCACCUUCUAAUCUGAUCAGAGACAAUGGAGAGACCGAGUCCAGUACACAAGAAGACUGUCACCAAGAACAGAUGAGUCUAUCAGACUCUGAUAUACCUCAUCUUGAAGCCUAUGGAGGUUGUCAUUAUGGACAUGCUUCAAAUGGUAGUCCACACUCAGGGGCUUCUGACACUUUACCAAUUCUGGAAAAAGAAGCAUUUCAUGAUACUUGGCCCAGUAACGAUAAUGAUGAUGAAGAUGAAUUCGAAUUUGAAAACCCAUCAGGUGAUAAUUCGGAAUUUGAGAAGCCAUCAGAAAGUGUCUCUGUUGAAGAUUCUUCUAAGAACUGGCCUACUUUAUCAGAAUUUCCACAGUCUAAUACUGACAUGAAUAAUGCUGCUGAAGAAAUUCAUCAGGAUCUUCAGAAAGAAGAUAUUGGUAUUCAAGAUGAUGAGGAUGAAUUUGAGUUUGAGACUCCUGAUGAAGAUAUGACCAUACAUCCAUCUGAAAAGUCACCCAUGGAACUAUCCACAUCAUGCCAUGUCACAAUUAGUGAUUCAUCUUCCCGCAAUGAAGGUAUCCAUGAUGGCCAGGAGUUGCUGAACGAAAUAAAGGAAACAGAAUAUGAUGGAGGGCAGAAUGAGAAUUCCUUUCCAAAUCUUGGUCUUUCACCCAACCCAUUGGGAAAUUCAGGAGCACUACAAGGAAAUUCAACAUCUGGUAAUUCUACACCGAUGAAAAUAGUGGAAUUUCAGGAUUGUACAGCAAGUUGGUCAACCACGCUUGGAACUGCAAGUCAGGCAACCACGCUUGGAAUUGCAAGUCAGGCAACCACACUUGGAAUUGUCCAGAUUCCAGCUCCUGCAGACAAUAGCGAAGAACAGUCUGGAAAUGAUACAUCCAUUCAAGAAGUCUGUAAAACACAAGGGUCUUUGGAAAAAUCUUUAUCAGUCAGGAAUCCAGGUAAUAUCACUAAAAAUGACAUUACUAUCAUCUCAGAUCAAAAAAAUGAAUGCAGACUACCUGAUAUAGAAAUGGUGCAAGAAGACAAAGAAAUAGACCAGAAAACAAAUAACAUUCCAGAUAGCCUAAGUACGCAAGACCUGGGUCAAGAUAAAAUGCAUUCAGUAUUAAUCACACUGUCCCCAGAGAUGGAAAAAGAAGAGGUCAAUUCUGGUGAAAUGAUGGACAUUCCAGAUUCUAAUGUUGACCAAAAGUUAGGAGAAAGAGAUGAACAAUGUAUCAAGACAAGUACUGCAGAAUGUAAUGUUGAUCCAAUUGAAGAUGGAAUAGAGGAACAAUCUAGGGAGAUGAAGGCUUCUGCAGAAUAUGAUGUGGGCGAAAAAGUGGAAGAACAAGAUGAACCAUCCCUCAAGCUGAACAAUACCUCAGAAUGUAAUUUAGGCCCUCAAAUCGAAGAAAAAGAUAAGUCAUCCAGUGAAAUGAAAGAUACUGCAGAAUCCAUAGGAGAAAGCGAUGGAAAACUCAGUGAGCAAAUGGAGAGUAGUACAGAAUGUAUUGUGGACCCAAUCAUAGAAGGAAUAGCUUUCGGAGAAUGCAUUGCUGACAAAAAAUUUGAAGAACCAGAUGAACAAUCUAGUAAGAAAAAUUGUACUGAAGAAUGCAGUGUGAACUCCAAGAUUGAAGGAUUGGAUGAACAAAUGAGUGACAUGAAGGCUUCUGUAGAAUGUAUUGUUGCUGGAAAGAUGGUAGAAUGCAAAAAGGACUCCCCAAUAGAAGCUACAGAUGAAAAAUCCAGAGAAGUGAACAAACUUGUAGAAUGCAUCGUUGAGAGUUCUGAGGAAUCCAAUACUCCACAGGAGAUUGAAAAGGAACAUCUCCAAAGUAAUGUGCCUGGCGAUGAAAUGGUACAAGUUCCGGAAUCAGCUCCUGCUGACACAAAUAAUGCCAAUAGCUCAUAUCAGGAACAACUUCCUGUUUCUGAAGCUAAAGGACUGCCUAACAACUUUUCCGAUGGAGAUUUGAAAUGCUGUACAGGAAAGAAGAAACUGAUUACUAAAUUCACACUACCCUAUGGAAAUGAUAUAACAGGUCAUAUAGAUAGAGCCACUCAAGAUGGAAAUGACUGUGGGGGGAAUCUUCCUUCUAGUGUGCAUAUUGAGGAAUCUAAAUCUGAGAAAGAGAAACAGGAUCGUGAUUUGCAGCAAAUGCAAGAUAUCAGGCUACAUACACGUCCCACAGCAGAAGGACAGCCAUGUCAUCAUAUAGAUAGUGACACUGAAAUCAUAUCAGAUAUUAUGGAGGAGAUACUUUCAAAUGUAAGCAUUCUGCAAGAUCAAAUUGUAGAACAUGCAACCUCCCCAGUUAGUGAAGAAUUACAAGGGACAUUAGAGUCUACAGAGGGUGUAAUUGAAGUUGUACCAACAAGCCAUGAAAACCGUUCCAAUGUAGUGGACUUACAUGAACAAAAAAAGAAAUCUCUAGAGGUUUCCUCACUUGGCCCUGAUGUCAAUGAAAUAUCUUCAGUCAGCAGUCCUAAACCAGACAUUUCCUUGGACACUUCACAGAGUAUUGAACUACAAGGAGCUUCAGUGACAGAGAAGACCCUGGAAAAUGCCAAUUCACUAUCCGGAGACUUUCAAAAUGAAUCUGACUUGCAUGACUUGCAGCUGGCAUCAGCAUCACAAUGUAAUAUAUUCGCUGAUACCUUAAAGGAAUCCAGUCUGUCCUCAGAACAAGACCCACCGAGCCAGGAGAAGGUGCAAGAUCAGUCUGCAGAUCAUCAACUGUCCUUUCAGUUAAAUUUGGAAGAGCAGAAAUCGACCACUCUUGGACACAGCCAAAAUGACUUUACAACAGAACACCUGGAAGAGGAAUGUCCUGAAGAAACUGCUACAAAAGAUCAAACUAUAUUAGCUGAAACACCAUGUCAUGAUGAAGGUUCAAAAACUCCGACUGAUACUGCCCAGGUUGGAAAUAAUCUUCUGAAUAAACCAUCUAAAAUGUCUGAAGAGCUAGUUAAUCUUAUUGAUGCAAGUAAAGAAUCAUACCAAAAUUACAAUAUAUUCUUGGGAGCAUCUGCAGGUGAUGAAACAAUGGACAUGUUGUCUAUUGCCUGUGAAGAAACAGUAGGGGGAUAUGAAGAGGAUGCUAUGUCUACAACAAGUUCUGGAGGAGCUACUAUAGCUUAUCCACUCAGUGAUGGAGAUAAUUGGGGUGAUCCUAGAGAAAGCAUGGUUGGUAAUGUUGUCGAGGUUGAAGAACAUCAGUCCUCACCUGUGCCAGACAUGACAAAUCCAACAACAUCUCAACAAAGAACAGAUGUAAAACAUACACUGACUGCAUGUAAAUGGACUGUAACAUUCAGGAAGGUAAAGAAGAGGAAAAGAUCUAAAGAAAGACACCAUAAGAAAAGCAGAAGUAAAAAACACAAGAAACGUCAUGAACCAAGCAAGCAAAAACCAACAGACACUAAACAGAAGUGCCAUCUCAAAACAGAUCUUGGAGCUGAUAAAGAGGACAUAUUUGAUAAUGAGACUGCUGACACUACUACAAAGCUGCUAGAAAGAAUGGAGGUAGAAAAAGAUGAAAACCCCAAAUUGCUUCUCCAAAAACAAACCAUUGAUAAUGAAUCCUGUGAUACCAGGGAAUCAAGAAACCACAUGGACACAGAAAUUCUAGAAGAUGAAAAAGAUGUAAUUGAACAAUCAGAGGCACCAAAAUCUCCCGAAAAGCUACAAAUGGCUAGCAUUUCGUCCCCCGUUUUCAAGAGUCUACGUUGUCCAGAUACUCAAACAAAUCAAUCUAUAGAAACCAAUCUGAAAUCUGUUCCUCUUGAAACUAAUCCUCUAUCUGGAAGAAUUGUCCCAAUUACAACUAAUGAAAAAGUACAGGAAGUUUCUGAUUUAGAUAAGAGACCGAGUAGUGAUGAUUACAAACUUUGUGAGCCGGUUAUUGGAGGUGCUGAAGAUGUGGUCACUUCAGUGAUUAACGAUGACAUUCCCAGAACACCUCCAAGUGACCAAAAAUUGUGUAAUGUACCAGUUACAGCUGUAAGUCCUGCACCACGUGUUGACAUUUCACUCCCAUCUGUAAGUCUGCCAAACUCCCAAGAUGUUACUCUUGUGGAAGAAAUUCAGCCAUCAAAUCCACCAUGGCAAGGCAUGGAAAAUGUCCAAAGAGAGAGUACAAACAUGCAUUCAGUACAAAACACAGCUGGAAAAGGUAGCAGAGGUGCUAAGACAGUGCACCAUAUUACCCAGGAUAGAGCAACAUUCUUUGGUACACCUAGGAGAGACAAAAGUCAUUUCAGACCAAACAUUACUAUUGGACAUUCUCUAUCAGAUAACAGAUUUUAUCUACCACAUGCAAAGCAGUCACCACACUCUCUUCAACAAUCUGCACUGCAAAUGAUGCAUGUGAGGCAAUCAUAUAGGAAUCCAUCUGGAGCCUGCAAGGAGCUUAAACAACACCUGCUCAAUAAACAGAGGCUUGCUGCGCCAGGUUCGCAAAACCAGUUCCCCCAAAGUCACCUGCCCAUAACCAACAAAGAAAUUGUUUCUAAUCAGAAUCUGUAUUCAGCUAUUCUUCCAUCAGAAAGAGAUUUGGCUUUAAAUCUACUACAGAGGCAGUCACAGAUUGAAGUAGGAAAGAAACACGAGGGCGAAGCAAACAGACAUAACUCUGCAUUGCCUUUUCUCCAAGUACAAACUUACCAAGAACAAUUUCAACACUUUCCUCCAAGAACUUUACCUGUUGACAUGAACCUCCAUCAUUCUGGAGCACUGAACAGCAGCAACAUUUCAACUGGAGUAGGUCACAGAGAUAUUGAUAGGCUACAGCCUCAUGGUAAUAGGGUUGCAACAGCUGGAACGUUUAGCCCUCCAUGUGCAGAUGAUCUCCAAAGAAAUGCACCAACACUGCACUUGGGGCAAAUUCAUGAGAAAGCAGAGAAAAGCAAAGUGGGAUACUUGCCUGUUGACAAUCAGUUAGGAUAUGCAGAGAAUAUUCCAGUUUUUACUGCUAAAGGGCCAGAGAAACAGCUUAUUGCUGUCUAUCCUGAUGGUUAUGUUCCCGUACCACAGACAGAAAUUUCAACUCAUUUGAAUAUCCAACAAAGUUUUCAACAUGCUAGAAAGCUCACCCCAACCCUCCAACAUCCUCAUUCCAAUACUGGCAUGAGUAUUUCCCAGGCUAAUACGAAUCGAGAUGAAAUGCUGUUAUUGUUGAGGCAACUUCAUGGUGGAAAUGGAACAAAAAGCAUGAGAAAUUUCCCCGUCAACCUAGACCAGUUUGGCACUCGGACUUCUGGCAUUUCACCUCUGGAAUCCCCACAUAUUCAUGAGAAUACCAGACUCAACCAGGUUACUGCACUGAUUCAGAAACCCUCACAAACAUCAACAGCAUUACAUCAACUUCCAAACUACCCACAAGACAGUCAUUUACAAAAUCCAUUGAUGAUGGAACAUGUCAGCCAGAGAAAGAAUACAGUUGAUGCCCAACGUGAGUUGUUUCAUCCACACUCACCGCAAAGCAGUCAGGGUAACUUUUUAGCAGGUGCUCCGAGCAGCUUCCACAACAUGACAUCAAGUAUUCCUACUCCAAGAAUGCACAGCCGAACUCCUACACCUGUAUCAACUACCACAAGUACAAGUGAUAGCUUUACAAACCUGUCUCAACUUCCAUCAACAGAAUUAGAAAGGACACCUCUUUCAAGAACAUCAACACCAAGGAGUCGAUGUACUCCAUCAUCUACACCACACAUGAUAAGUGAAUCACCUCUUCCAGGACAAACAGAAAUAUUACACUCUUCCUCAAAUAACUGUAGUGCUAUAGAAGAUGUGCCUCUGGAUCUUACCUGUAAAGGAAGAACAAGGUCAAAUGUUGACAAAAACCCUACAGCUCCUCUUGAUUUGUCUUGCAAGCCAAUACUAUGUGACACUGAAUCACAAGAGCAAAAUGCAGUACAGGUCCCUUACAGUGUCCAUGAAGAAAGCAGAACCCAGGAAACUCUUCGAAGAUCACAUUCUGAAGAGCCAGGAAGUGAUAUUGAAGUUGUAGAUGUACAAGGGGGUGUAGAAGUGAAUGGAGAUGAACCUCAAGAUCCUGUAGUACUGAGUUGUGGUUCAUCAGAUUUGUCUUCUUCCAUUAACUCUUGCAUUCCAGUUGAAAAUAGAAGUGCUGAAGUCAUAUCUCAUCAAGAUCAGAAUAUUCCAAGACAAGAUGUGAAUAUUGAUUUGCUUAGAAGUAAACUUGGACUCCCUGUCAAUGCUGACAAUUCAUCUAUCCCUGUAAACUACCAAGAGAGAAGUGAAACAGUGAUAGAUUUAUCAUCAGUUACCAAACAGUGUCAAUCAAGGGAUAGAAAUGUGUAUAUGGAUAGAGCUGGAGGACCUCAUGUUUUUAGUGAUCUGCUGCACCAUGGACUGACUUCAGGAGGACCUGGCCUGAAAAUUGCAAAAACAUAUAACAAAUUUGCCAAUCCAGUUACAAGUACUCCUUCAAGUAUUCCACUUAUUGAUCUCACAUCGAUUCCCAAGAAGAUGCAUGUACAUGAUGCCUCUGUAAAGUCAACAUUAGAGGUUCAUCACAGAAAAGAGUCAAGGUGCAGUGCCAAGACACCACCCAAUGCUCAAGGUCAAAUUUCCUAUGUGCCAUGUCAGCUCCGAAGAACAAGAAGUGAUGAUACGGAAGUAAGGCUUAGCUCUGGCAAUUUGGAAUAUUCAAGUAAAGUUAGUCCAGCUGUUGGUUUGGAAAGCAACAUCCCUCCUGAUGAUUCCUCUAUUCCACCCCAAAGUAUAACAAGAAGUUCUUCAACUUCCAACAUUGUAGUCAGUUCUGCAGACUCUAAUUUACAAGGGCAAAAUAGCCCACUACAUUCUAAAUUUAAUGUCCCAAUGAAUGUUCAGUCAUUGAGUGAAAUGAGUCAAUGCCCAAAGAAGCGGUUCAAGCGGGCCCAUGAAGCAUCCUUCUUGCAAUCUGAUGUAAUGAUUCCUUCAAAGAUCCCUGCAGCAAAGACAGACAGUGAUGUGGCAAAGCCUGCACAUCCAUCUGGACCUCGUAAAAGGGGAAGACCAAGAGGAAGCAAAAAGACUGUUAUGGUUAGUCAAGUAACUCCUGUAAUGAAACAAUGCAAAUUCUGUCAGUUUGCAACCACUUCUCGCCAAGAAAUGAAAAAUCAUGUAUACGAAAAACACUUUCAAAAGUACAGCAUCAAAGCUACUAAGUCGAACAGUGUCAUUAGUAUUCCUGAUCAACUUGCAAGAUUGAAUGAUGAAGUCAGUGCCUCACUACCUGAUGGAAAAGGACUGAGUGCAAAAAGUUUCAAGAUCAUGCCAUCUCUUGAACAUGUAAGGCCUCGUAGGAACGCUGAUGUAUCAAAAGAAAUAUCAAACAUGCAAAGAACAGGAACAGACUAUUGCCUACACUGUGAUCACUAUUUUCCCGAUACAAUAUCACUUGCGAGACAUCAAAGAAUUCAUCAUAAUGAGAAGCAGAAUUUUGGAUGCAGAUUAUGUGAUUUUUGUAGCUCUGCACCAGGUCCUCUUGUGUAUCACAUCAACAAAACACAUUCAAAGGAACUUACAGGUGGUUCUUGUCCAUUCAGAGACUGCAGUCGUCGGUUUUCAACGGUGAAAGAGGUGAAGGAUCAUCUGAAUGACCAUUGGAUAGAGAAGCAGUUUGCGUGCAAGAUAUGUGGUGUACGCUACCAAGUCCUCAGCUCUCUCAAGGCUCAUCUGGACCGCCACAGUCAGAAUUUCCCCAACAUAUGUAAGGACUAUCACAUUUAUAUGACUAUAUGGAAUGUAGAAACGGCAUCCUAUGUAAGUACAGUUUCAGAUUUUAAAUGUUUUGAUGAGCACUUUGUACUCCGCACUAUUAGAUAGAAUGUUUUGUCUAAAGGUCAAUCCAAAAUCGACUUAGAUUAUUUUGCCAAUUUGCUCAUGAAAAGGGAGGGUCAAACAGAGAGAUAUAUCUCUAUGGGGCCAAAUUACCUAUUUAGGAUUUACAAAUUAAAAAUGGAAUCGUGUCUUUCUGCAGAACUUAAAAGGAUUCUUUUGUGAAUAUUUUGAGAAAACAUAUUUUUCAGUACUUGGUGCAAAUUUUCACGAUCUGAUGCGAAAUUGACUUGUAGUUUUCUCAUUUUAUUGGGCGCUCCUUCUCUAUGUGCACAAUUUUUGUUCAAAAUUUAAAAAAAUAUCUAAGCAACCUACUUUAUAUCUAAUACCUUGGUGCGGGGAUAAACCAGCAGAAAAUGAUUGUGGCAUAUUUUGCAAAUGUCUAUCAGCUGUGGCCUUAAAAAGAUAGAUUAAUUGAUACAAAAUUAGGUGAAUAUGUCUUGCGGGCAAUCCUAAACAAGAUCGCAAAUUAUUGCAACUCUAUGAAAUAAUAACUCCAAUCACCUCAACCUCCACCCCAAAAUGGGGGGGGGGGGGUAGUGUCAUUAUAUUUUUAACUGUAUUGCAAUGUUGUAUUUCUCAUUUCCUGUCCGAUUUGUUUAUUUAUUCACUUAUAUACUGCCUUCAAGGAAUGCAAAAACAAAUGUGUGUUUGGGUUAAUAACACGUUUAUUUUGCAACAACAAAAAAUUGUCUUUUUUGUGCCUUUAAAAAAAUGCAUGUAUUAUUCUUAAAGUAUAUUUUAUUUUGCAUGGUUGCGCAGCAACGUUAAUUGUAAUCAUGGUAAUAGCACUUUGUUAAAGGUUUUACCAGGGGAACGACAACAUCGAUUAUGUCUUAAUAUUUAACCCAAUGUUUAGCCUAACAUAUCACAUAGCCGUUGGUUCGUUCAGAAGUCAAAACCUCGUCCUAUAUUAUAAUGAAUAAGUUAUUCAUUAAUCGUUCUAUUUUGAAAUUAGAAACAAGAAAUUUUUCAUCGUACUGUCGACAGAAGUUUUCCUUCAAAAUGUAAAUAUCAAAGAUUAUUUUUGCAUGCAAGCUUUGUGUUUUAUCUCAUUUUGAAAAGUUUGUAAAGUUCGUAAGGUUGCCAUAAUUCAGUUAUUAAUUUGGUGAUCGUGAAUUCAUCAAAUUUCUGGGGCAAAAUUAUGGAAUUUUUAGGUUUUCUUUGUCUCACAUUGUGCGUGGGUUUUCUUUGCCCCUCCCCCAUUUUUAUUAUUCACCUUAUGUUUGCAUUUUUUUUUUUGAGCUGAUCACGAUCACAAAAGAAAUUGAAACUAUAUUUGAGCUUUUUGCACCAUGCUUGCUUGGAAACUUUUUUUAAAGUCGAAAACUAAUGUACAUUUUAGGUUCCAUGACAUUUGCUCCGGCGACAAUUGCUCCGAUUGAAAUACUGCACAUUGAGCCAAUCAUAUAACCUAACCUCCAAAACUGAAUAAACCCUAAUCCAUAUCUUAACAUUAUUCUUAACUAAAACUCUAUCACAAUCCGAACUCUAAACCUAAUUUGCCCUCUGAAAUAAUUAAGACCGGAGCAACCGGGUUUCAAAGAUUCGAAUGUGUUACGAUUCAAAUUUAGACCUGAAUGAUUAAUAUAGAGUUGACUGCCGGAAGGUCGUACAACUCGUACAUGGGUUUUUUUGCAUUUUUAGAUUGAUUUCACGUGUCAAACCAGUAAGAGUACAUGAAUAUAUCCAUGUGUUUAUAUAUGACUAAAAAUAUUUUUAAGUGUAUGAACAAAUUUGCAGACCAGAGUAGAUGUAAAACUAGGUACGAGAUUUGAUUGGAAGAGGGUUAAUUCCGGCGCACAUUUCACGAUCCGUUGCUGAUCGAUUUUCAAAGAAUACCGUAGCAUUUGUUAUGAACAUUACAACCUGUAAAAUCUUAUUGGUCAAAAUUCCCAAUAGUGGUAUGAAUGCUAAAAUUGUAUUCAUGUCUAAAUCGUUAUGACGUCAUCGGCAGCGACUUGAUGCCGAUGUGUAGUUUACACCGGGACUUUACUCUGACUACAAGGGCAUGCAGCAAAGCAGAAAUUAAAUUUCAGUAUUCUGAGCAUUAUAGCGAAUUUCACUUCUUUCAUAUUCAAUGCAAAAUGCGAUUUGUUCAUAAAUCGCAUCUUUGACAGAUCGUGUAGUGUGCGCUGGUCUUUAUAACAUUUCGGUAUUAAGUCGUGUAGUGUUCGUAUCCAGUCGUAAACACAUAGCCCUUUGUGCAUAUUUCAUAUAUACAUAUAUACAUACCCAGUAAAUGUAAAUUGAUUGGAUAAAUGUUAUUAUCGGUUUUUCUUCGUGUUUACAAUAAUGAGGUUUUGAACUCGUUCUAGGAACCAUUCACGGAUCUGUUGAUUAAGAAAUCCAUGGAAACUGUGGGAUCCAUACGUGCUUGAAUAACUACGGCAAUAUAUUCUACCCGACUUCCACGUACUCUAUCGUACACGAUCAGGAGAGGUGCUCUAUGUCUGUAUUGUUCUCUCGUAAAGUCUGGUAACGUUUUUUAAUUCCAUUGGUGACGAUAGGUAUCAAUUGUAUUGUAUGUAAUUUAUCACAUCAUAUUUGUAACAGUUUGUAUAUGUUUUUCUUCAAUUUAUUAUUACGAACUUGAGACAGUUUUAAAUCUAAUAUCCAUGCGUGUAUUUAGGGAUGAAUCCGUGUUUUCCUCGGAGGUAUUCCUCCCAUUGUGAUAGAAAUUCGAUGUGAAUUUAACUUUUUGAUUUUGAUUUAUGAAAUUGCAACGGAGUAAUGGCAAUUUCACUUCUGAACUAUACUAUGCCCAACACAAGACAUACAUGUUCAGAUGUAGGUGUAUAUAUCCCUUUUCAUCUAGGUAGGCGCAUUAUAAUAGUGGUAAAACAGCCGAUCGCGACAAGGGUCACACUCGGAGUUAUAGAUGGUACACCAGACCGCAAUUUUGGUCAAAAUCUUGGCCAGAGUUGGGGGUAUAUGUGGGGCUAUCGCGGAGUAUCAUCAGACGAAAUAAAUUAUCUUUUUUUUUUCUUUAAUGUGAGAAUAAUAAUAAUAAUAUAUGUGAUUUGUAAUGCGCCAAAUCCACUCGGCAGAGUGCCCAAGGCGCAGUGAAAGAAGAAAGAAAGAAGAGUGAUGAUGUGAUACAUAAUUAUGCUUUCGUAUUUUGUAGACAAUGCAUUCUAUAGGUGAAGUAACAUCCGCGUUUUAAUUGAAUACAUCUUCUUUCACCAUGCUUUUAGUGUGCAACUUAUUCCGAUGACGAUUUUUUUUUUUUUUUUUUUUUAUCUCUUGUAACGAAAUCUGAUAAAACUGAAGCUCGUGACGUAAAGAGGCAAUUGGCUUAAAGAUGUUGUUUGGACUGCAUAUACCAGUGACAGUAAGAUGAUCUUCAUAGUAGUAUUAUAUCUGGACGAUGGAGAUGGUAAGCUCUUAAUUUAUUAGGCUAAGGUGUUCUUGAGUUUUCACGGCGUGCAAACUAUUUAGGCGAGGAUACGUCGAGUGACGACAGAAUUACAUUUCAAUAAAAAAUGAAAUUGUGUCAUUCUGUAGGCCCAUUAUAGCCUACAAUUCGUGUAUGCUCCAAAGCAUCGUCACACCCGCGCAGUCGUUCGAAACGAUCAUCCAAUUAUUGGGUUUUCGUUCCUACCUCGUUGAAUUCGUGUUGAAUAUGCUCUCUUGUUAGAUUUGUGCUUCACAUUCGCAAUUAUUUUUGGCACCUUUCUUCAUUGCGCAAAGCCGCUUCAGAACUCUCAUGAUGUUCGUGACGUCUUCAUUAACAUGGGCUAACAUUCGUUAACAUUUUUCGGAAAAUGCAAUUGUAGAAAUAGAAACACCCGCCCAUUUUUUGUCGACAAAAAAACUAUAGGCCUGCUAAUUUUAAGAUAAUAAUAUAUUCUUAUCGCCCAAGUCAUUCCGGAAGUAGCGAAUACUCGAUUUCGACGCCCUUGUCGAUAGGCCUGGGCCUAUCAUCCUAUUUUGAUACAAGAAAACGAUAUACGCUCGGACCGCCCCCGUGAAGUUGCAUCGAAAUGCAGUUUUUUGUGGCACGCGCGAACGAUUUGCAAAGGAUGCGAAUGUUGUAAUGGCAAAGGCAGAAGAAUAUGAGUUUCUCUCCGAAAAUUAUCUGUAUUCUUAUACCGAAACCCUCUGAAGACGUAGACCAUGAUUGCGAGGUUCUCAUGAUGUCCAUCGCUGAUCCGCCGCAAGACAUAAGUCCACUGGAAGAGCAGUUGCCUCAAAUCAAAACGAAUUGAAUGUUCCUAUAUUUAUAGUGAAAAAUUAUAUUCGCUGCCUGUGAGAGAUAUUUGGCGAAUCGUGACUUUAGAUCUUGGCGGAGUUUUCAAGACCUAUUGGAGAAUAAAUCACGAGUAAAACACGACAUGGCCUUGGACGCCGUGCACCUACGCCGGCGAGAAAUUGGCAAGCUUCCAAACUAUGCGAUUGUUUGAUAAUGUUUGGAAGCGUAAAAUACGACCUGGUGGGUGUUUCAUAAAGUUGUUCGUAACACAUGAAGCUGUUCGUAAGAUACGAAUGACUUUACGCACGACUGGUGAUCCUUUCUUGUGCUAUGUGAUUUCCCUAUCCCUGCCCAAUAUAAUUGAUUUAUGACCUAACAACAUGUUUCAGUCGUCCGUAAAGUUGUGCGUAACUUUACGAACAGCUUUAUGAAACACCCACCAGGAACGCUGGGCAAUACGCCUGCGAACAGGGGCGUCGAUCCAUUUUUAACAAACUCACCCACACACACACAUAGGCCUAUAUGCAUAUAUAUAUAUGACUCAUGAGAAAGAGACACAUAUCUCACCAACAAAUUAAUGCGUGCGCGAAGCGAGAGCUGAAAAUGUUGAUAUUUCGAUUUGAAAAAAAAUGACAGUUUAAAGGACGUUUUUGAUAAGGAACAAGAUAUAUAUCCAACAAAAGAUUAUUGCAAAUCGAAGCGGGAGUUCUUUUGAGGUUUAGAACUGAAAAUUCACUUAUUUAAUCAUGAAAAGUAUGGGUUUUUGCUACAGAAAUGAUGCGAGCUGAAAAUUUUAAUAUUCCAAUCUGAAAAGCGGACAUUUUGAGCACGCUUUUAAAUAAAGAACGAGUUGGUAUCUCAAUCUCUCUUGCUGAUUUCUGUGCAACAUUACAAUCUUAUUUUAUUUUUGCACAUGCAGAAUUAUUGGGGGGGGGGCAAAACGAUAUGUUUGCCCCCCCCCCCAAUAUUUUCAUUGGUGGGGCGAUCGCCUGCCCCCCAGGAUCGACGCCACUGCCUGCGAAAAUUUGGCAAGCUUCCAAACCCUGCCAAUUGUUUGAUAAUCUUUGGAAGCAAUAAAAGUGGCUGUUGGACUUUGUUUCUUCGUCUUUUUUUUUUUAAGUUCGCAUUUUUCAUAAAUGUAUAGCCGUAUAAUGGGUUAUUAUAUGAUUGUGACGAGCAUACGAAGGAAGAACAAUAACAGUGAUACGCGUCGAAUCCAACAUUUGCCUUUUAUGCACUGAAAGUUCAUCAACUUUGCGCAGACUUUUGAGAGCCUCCUUGAUUGUUCUUUCAAUGGCCGUGAAAAACGUUCGCUAGAAAUUUCCAUCUUUGAAAUCCUGCCGAAAAGACCGACAGUAGCCAACAAUAGCACUCCCCCAAGAUUUUUUUCUUUCUGGUAAGGGGUAGCCCUCAACGUUUUACGCGAUAUCAGGGACGGAUCCAGGAUUUUCCAAGAGGUGGGGGGAGCACAUUUUCCCGAGAAAAAAAAUUGACAAGCAAAAAAGUAAAAUCACUUUCAAAGGGGGGGGGGGUACACUUGUGUUUUAACGGCAUUUUUACAUUACAAAUUUUAAUUGUGCCUGUCAAAGUUUUCAAGGAGCAAGCUAACGAUUUGCGAAUGAAGCAAUAUGUUUUAAUGGAUUCGGAGAACUUUCUUCUCCGGCAGUCAUAAGACAGUUGCCUGAAAAAAAAUUAUUCUCGCGCAGUUUAUGAAUGUCGUAUGUUAACCUGCCUGGAAUACACGAAGAAAAUGCGACCUAGAAGUGAAAAAUGCUAGUGUUCUGUGAAUCAUGUGCGAAUUUUUUGAGGAUAUAUAGCGACACAUGUGAACGCUUUGCGUCCAAUUCGCGCGCAAUGAACGCAAUAUAAUGCGACACGGUGCUACAUGCGUACAUACGUAGUUAUAAAACAUCAAGCACUAGGUUCAAUGGUUUGGUCCUGCCACCAAAUGUCUGAAGAUACCUAAAACGUUCGCAGAAAAGUCGGGAAACUAGUGGGCGAACUUCGGUCGCGCGAGAUAAUCUGCAAAACUUGUAAACUGGCUGAGGAUUUGUGAAGAUUUACGAAUAUCGCACGGAUUCUGCGUUGGUCUUGCGCAUAUUACGAAGCUAAAACGAACAAAAAUGGCCCGGAAUGCGGGAAACGUUCGCGAUGAAUUUGAAAUUAUUUUGAAAUUUCCCCCGAACUAAAAAUAACGACCGAUUUGCAAAGCUACGAACCUUUUGCAGCAGAAAAUGCGUGUGUUGGAUUUUACCAUUUUUAUAACAUUCGCGUCCUUCGCAAACCAUUUGCCUGCCCCGUGAAAACCCGAACUUCGUGGCUUGGGUGAGACGUUCAACAAACUUUCAUGAUCAUCUGGAUCGGGAUUUACGAGGAAUUUGCGGAGACUUUGCUUACAUCUUGAGAAGAUCCUGUGUAUAUGACGAAGAUGAUAAAUCGCGAGGUAAAACCUCUGUUGAUGCGGGAAACUUAUCACUUAUCCAAUUAUUUUUUAAAUUUCCGCUGAACUAAGAAUGGCAUCUGCAAUUGAUUUGCAGCCUGCAACCUAUCCGACCUACGCGCAAUUUUAGCGAGAAUUUGCUGCACAAAAUGCUUCUGUUAUAAUUUGCUCUAACGAAAUGUUGUAAUUUCGGAACCGCAAUUUUGGUCUCAAAAGUAGCGCGAGCUGUGAGCCACGCGGUCAAAAAAAUUUGCUCGGCGGAUUUAUCGCGAUAACUGGAUAGGGUGGGCUGAUUCGCGUGCCCGUGAAAACACACCUUAGUAAAUUGUAUUUGUACGUAAUAACAAAUUAUUCUUUUUUAACCAAAGGAAUUAAACUGAAUACUGUAUGAUUGAAUAUUUUACACAAGGUAUUGGUUAAUCAUUUUAUCACGUCUCCAUCUCCUGGUUGUUUCUUACUACGAAUCAUUCUCGUCACUCGGAAUGCGGCGUCUGACACAGCGUGGCAUGAGAGCCACUGUCUUCGAAAAUAUUUCCUCCGCCGUUAUUUAGAUGCUAUAUAAUAUUUCCUUUUUCUGUUAAGAUAACACGUUCUCAAUUAUUCUGGUUUAGCAGAAUAAAUCGUAUGUGAUGUCCGAAUUGUGUGACUGCAUUGGUUUUAGUAAUUGUUGGUCAAAGAUCUAUCUGACUAGAGAAAAUUGAUAUUAAAAUUCAAUUAUUGAAAAUGUGCUUACUACUCAGAUGUCACACUGUCGAUGUGUACUUAGGAUAUCAUGAACAACUUUGUUAUUGAUUAUGACGUAAUGGAAAUUACAAAUUGAACAGAAUAUUAAUUUAUAUGAAUAUAGACUUCCUUAAUUCGCCGCUGACUGAAUAUGCUAAAUAUGUCCUUUUAAAUCACUUAAGUUCUGGUCAACGCAAAGCUAAAGCUAACAGGCCUGAAAUAUCCAUAGCCUUUUAUGUGUAUUUAUACAACGGGAUAAAUUCCAGACUUACAUUUUUUAAUCCAGUCCACUCCCCCCCCCCCCCCCCCCCAGCAAAAAGAAAAGAUUCAAGCAAAAGCAGACUCUUAGUGUGUAAAUCGUGACUAAUAUUACAAAAUGUAUGAUUAUUGUUUGGACCAUCUUCAUCCGAAAGUGUUAGUCUUGUGUGAUUUUGGUGCAUCUGUUUUUUUUUCUUCUUCUCUCUUCUAGUUCAGUGCUUUCGCGCACUGUUUUACUUUCUGUCGGUUCAAAGGGUCUUCAAUCAAUAUAAUUGGUGUAUGUGGCCUCAACAUUUGUAUAGAGUUUAAGUAUUGAACAUAUUAAUGGUUGUGGGAUUGGUUAUAAAAUAACCAUAUUUGCAUUUUGUAUAAUGUAGUAUGUGUAUCCGUUUGCACAGUUCCUAUGUAUGAUAGUGUGUAUAUAUCAACGUAUGUUAAAUAUUGUACACAUCAAAUCGUCUUUCAAAAGUGAUGGGCAUUACUUAACGUGUUCAUGAAAACUUUCCUUGAUCAGUUUGUGGAGUAGCCUAUAUUCUCUGUUUAAAUUAUUAUUGAGAAUACAAAUUCCCAAGUUCUUGUGUUACUCAUUUAUUUCCUUUUGCAAUUAAAGACACGUACGUGUCAUUUUAUCUGUGUUUCGUCGAUAUGAAAUAAGUUUUUUAAAGUUGAAACAAUCUUAGCCGCGAUAUACUUCCUAAGUUAUCAAAGCUCGUUAUGAAUAUAUUAAUUGGUCGUGUUACAUGCCUGACUGUUGACGUCGGCUCUAAGGGGGUGUUUUCUAUAUCAUUAUAUAUCGUUUUUUUUGUUGUUGUUAUAGAUAGCACUCCUAUCUAGUAUGAACCAGAGCCUCCAAGAAAGUAUGGACUUGUAUAUGUCGAUAUAUGUAUAUUUUUACAGAUCAAUUGCUUUCCAAUCAAACGUGUAUCUGUCCAACUUAAUAAUACACGUGUCUUACAUUAGGAACUUUGUGUAUAUAUUUAAAUGUUUUGCUAUCUUGGAGAGCAAUAAGUUUGUUCUAUUCUUCCCCCCCCCCCAUUUCCUUUUGUUUUAAUAUCUGAAAUAUUUUAAUGAAGUUUUAUCUCACUGGCAAUACCUAUCGAGACUCAGAUAUUUUAUGCAGAAUUAUGAUUCUGUUAUGUUUUUGAAAUAUGCCUGCCUGUAUACGCUUUUCAGCGAAUUAUUUCUGUUCAUUCGGUCUAGAAGUAUAGAAUUAGACAUGUAUAGAAGUAUGGAAUGUAACUAUUUAAUUUUAGCUUCAUUGAUAAUGUUCUAACUAAGAUCUAACCACAGUACUAAAUUGUAAAAUGUGAAAUAUGAAAUGUUACUUGCACUGUGUAUGUAAACUGUCUAUUGAAUAACGUGUUUAUGACACUUUAAGUAUUUGUACCGCUCAUUUUGUAAAUUUUUGUAUAGCCUCUUUUACGUGAAUACAAUUCAUUUUGCGUGUUGCCAUUUUGUGAAAAACAUUUUUAUUACUCUUCCUUGUUGGAGAAAUAAAUGAUAAAAAU